rnacentral:rRNA from 1 species
AGUGAACGCUGGCGGCAGGCCUAACACAUGCAAGUCGAGCGGCAGCGCGGGGGCAACCCUGGCUGCGAGCGGCGGACGGGUGAGGAAUUCGUCGGAAUCUGCCUCUUUGUGGGGGAUAACGAAGGGAAACAUACGCUAAUACCGCAUACGUCCUACGGGAGCAAGUGGGGGGCGGCAAGGCCUCACGCGGAGAGAUGAGCCGACGACCGAUUUGCUAGUUGGUGGGGUAAAGGGCCACCUAGGGGAGCAUUGGUGGCUGGUCUGCGAGGAUGAUCGGCCACCUUGGGACGGGAACACGGCCCAGACUACUACGGGAGGCAGCAGAGGGCAAUAGUGGGCAAUGGGCGCAAGCCUGAUCCAGCCAGGCCGCGUGUGUGAAGAAGGCCCUCGGGUUGUAAAGCACGUUUGUGCGGAGAGAACUCCCUGGGGCUAAUACCUUCGGGGGAUGACGGUACCGGAAGAAUAAGCACCGGCUAACUACGUG